GCCACUUAGAGGUGUCCCUAGGGGGCAAUGUAAAUGUCAGUGUUUGCAUGAAAAUGCUUGAAGUAAAUGAUUAUACUCACCAUUAAAGCUGUAGUUGUUCUGCUGACUAUAGUGUCCCUUUAACCCCUUAAGGAAACAUGACAUGUGUGAUAUGUCAUGAUUCCAUUUUAUUCCAGAAGUUUGGUCAUUAAGGGGUUAAAGGAACUAACCAUUUAUUGUUUCUAAC